CAGCCGCCACGGUAAUACGUAGGGUGCGAGCGUUGUCCGGAAUUAUUGGGCGUAAAGGGCUCGCAGGCGGUUUCUUAAGUCUGAUGUGAAAGCCCCCGGCUCAACCGGGGAGGGUCAUUGGAAACUGGAAAACUUGAGUGCAGAAGAGGAAAGUGGAAUUCCAUGUGUAGCGGUGAAAUGCGCAGAGAUAUGGAGGAACACCAGUGGCGAAGGCGACUUUCUAGUCUGUAACUGACGCUGAUGUGCGAAAGCGUGGGGAUCAAGCAGGAUUAGAUACCCCCGUAGUCCCUGUCUCUUAUAC
rnacentral:rRNA from 1 species